AUUGAACGCUGGCGGCAGGCCUAACACAUGCAAGUCGAACGAGUGGCGGACGGGUGAGUAAUGUCUGGGAAACGGCCUGAUGGAGGGGGAUAACUACUGGAAACGGUAGCUAAUACCGCAUACCAGCAGAGCUGCCCAGAUGGGAUUAGCUUGGUGGUGGGGUAACGGCUCACCAAGGCGAAGAUCCCUAGCUGGCCUGAGAGGAUGACAAGCCACACUGGAACUGAGACACGGUCCAGACCCCUACGGGAGGCAGCAGUUGGGAAUCUUGCACAAUGGGCGCAAGCCUGAUGAAGCCAUGCAGCGUGGAUGAAGAAGGCCUUCGGGUUGUAAAGUACUUUCAGCGGGGAGGCGUUACCCGCAGAAGAAGCACCGGCUAACUCCGUGCCAGCCGCCGCGGUAAUAC
rnacentral:rRNA from 1 species